CGUCGCUGCGCAGGUGGGAGCGCAAAGGAAAGCACCGAGACGUGCGAGAGGCCAGGCGCGCUCCUCUCCGCGCGGUCGGAGCCGGGGGCUGAAGACCACUCGGCAGAGAGCCCCGCGGCAUCGGGGGCACCGUACUCUUUUGUUUGUUUGUCGUCGUUGUUGUGUAUUUCCUAAAGAACAAAACACAGACCCGAAGCGUACCCCGGGGAUUAACGUGUGAGCAAAACUGCCUGCGUUUAUCGACAGCGUAUCUUAACUGAUGCCACCUCGUAGCGCUGUAAAUAAAAAGUCUGCAUAAUACCGUGAAGAUUCCAUCUUUUAGAGUACUCGGAAUCUGAUGUGUUUGAGUUCUGUCCCAGAAAACCUCUCGGAGAAUCAGACAGCUUGUGAAUGCAGCAGCUUGGAAUUCAGGUCUUCCUGCGCAGGUCCUCCCCUGCUCCUUUCCAGAGCUUUAAGGACACUGACCCUGCCUCCAAACCCAGGAGAUUUGCCUCUUAAACGCUACUGGCACAGCCGGCACGGGGAGCAGGAGGGGUUCGCAUUGACAGGAUUCCAGGCAAAAGCCGGAGUUAAAGAGCACAGCGGCCCCCUCCUCCUUGGUUCUCAUCUAUUUAAAACUGCUCUAAAAUAGAUCUUUUAAAUAGAUGAGAGACGGGAGCUUUCUGUAGCCGCAGCGUAAGGGAGCCACAUCGACAACAAAGGCUCCCGCCUCUGUGCCUCAGUGCCCUGAGCUCAAACCACUGCUCGAGGAGAAAAUGGCACCGGGGGCUCAAAAAUCCCCACGGGGCUACACUGGAGCCUGAGCUCCAGAGGUUCGGAAGGAAACUGAAGAAGAAGUAGAUCCACCUUGAAAAUAACUCAGAAAUGAGCUGCUGAGACCGCUGGCUCCUCCCUCGGCGAAUGUGUACGUCUGCGGUGUUGUCUUUAGCACCCCGAUCAGCUGAACUGCUCACUCUUCCAACGGAUGAUUACUGUCAAUCCUAAGCACGCCAAAUAUUUUUACAGUGUUUGGGGAACCAAAAAAAAAAAAAAAAAUACCUUGAAACCAGAGAAGUGGUGAGAAGACUGAGCGAGCGGCGUGACACUGAUGUGGUGCUCGGGAUUGCUGCUCUGCACAAGGCCGCUGUCCUUCAGAAGUUUUCCGGCAUGAGAUCACGACUACUUGUGUGGCUGGGUUUGUUGUACAGAGGGCAAAAGCUGCAUCAUUCCACAGCAGGAGCCGAGUGCUUUUAAGAAAUGUAGGCUUUAAGUCACGUCACGCAGAGGGCAAGGGCGGUGUAUCACCGGCUACUGUGCAGCAAAUGGUGAGGGACCGCAAGAGAAACAGAUCCACGAAGGUGGAUGCCUUGCAAACAGUGAUCCGGGUUCAGAAACGCUACUGAAAAAAUUGAUACUGUAAGGGUAAUACAGUGACCCUCAACUUAGCCACAGAGGCUGCUCAGGAGAGGCUAUCUCUAGGUGUGAGCUGAGGAAGCACCUGCCAACAGGCUGCUUUGGUCAGGAAAAUCCUCCGGCACAUUGGAUAUACCUACCUGAUCGGAAUGCUCAGAAGGCUUCACAGCAGACAACGAAGAAAAAAAAUGCUUUGGUUAUCACAGAAGAACUUUGUGGAGGGUGAGAGGAAAGGAAGAAAUUGCCUACGAACAGACACUGGAGAGUGUUUUCUUCAGAGGACUACAGCUCCCAGAUGCUUCUGCUCCUUUCUGCUGCUCUAAGUUCUGCAGUUACUCAUCACUUGACUCUAAGCGGUUCCAGUCUGUUAUUCUGUAUCACAAUACAUGUUGAAUUGGUGGCAUCACAUUCCAUUCCAGCAAAAGUGACUGAAAACCCUUCCUGUCUCAUAGGCAGUGGGUGUUCUACUUUUCUUUCAAGUCCCCCUUUCUUUUCCCCUUCUCCCUCUGCCUCUCUUCACUCCACCAUGCAGUCACCACUUCUGCCAUCCCUGAGCAGCCAUGCAAGACAAGCACAAACUGUCUGGAGGGCUGAAAAUGGAAGACACGGCAGAUGGAAACACCAAAAUCAUCCUUUUCUGUAGGCUCUCUAAAAGCAGAGAUGCAAGAGAAUUUUGUACACUGCUUUUUUGUUUUUUUUUUUUCUUUUUUUUUCUUUUUGUGACUUGACACAGAUAUACCUGCUUGAUCUGGAUGCUCAGGAGGCUCUACAGCAGACAAUGAAGAAAACAUGUAGCUGUAGAUGUCCCUGUUUAUUGCAGGGCAGUUGGACUAGAUAACCUUUAAAGGUCCCUUCCAACGUAAACAAUUCUACGAUUGUAUGACUUCUGAGAUUUCUGAUUUUAAAACUUUAAGUGAUCUUUAUGCUGUUAGUAAAUUCUUUUAAAAUUAUAAGGAAGUAGUGCUACAUAAAGUGAAACUGUCAAAGACUUUACACAUUGAUUUGGCAAGCUAGGAUUGUCAGCAGUACUCACCUGUAUGUCACAACCAGGGACAUCUGUUAGAAAGAGAGGUGCCACCGCUGUGUUAACUCACACAUAGAUGACUGUAUCACCAAGGAGGCUGUGCAGCCUGAGACCUGCCACAGUCAUGCUGGGCUGAAGUGAGAUUUUUGUUGAAAAGAAGAUAAUGGGUGGUUCUGGGCACCACUGAGGCAUAUGCAGGGCAGUAAAGUAGACAAUGGCAAUCUUAGAGACCCAGAGAUGCAACAGACCAUCCAUCUCUGGUCAUUUCUGUCACAUGAAAAAGCAAACUUAAGUAAUCUCUGAAUUUUCUGAGCAUGGACAGCAUCUCAGAAAAAAUCACAAAUGCUGAACAAUUCUGAAGUAUGUUUUAACUCUGUUGGAUUUCUGAUCAAGAAUUGAAGUACAAAGAUACAUUGCUAGUAAGUAAAAUGCUUGCUGUUAUAUCUCUGCGUCUAUUUCGUACAUUAGAACUUGGAUUUUCCUCAAGCAUGUCUUAAAACUAGAAGGAAGGAUCCAUUUUUACUGUAAUCAAUUACUCACCUGAUUUACAUUCCAUGUUGGUUAGAAUUCAAGGAGUGAUGGAGCCCUAUGUCCCCAGCUGGCUCAUGCUUACUAUAGACAAGUGAUCACAUUUGGUCCUUGUCAGGCUUAAGAAUUCAGUUAUCCAAAAUUCAGUCAUGACAAUUCAUUUCAAACAGCAGUUAUAGCUACACUUUAAUCAGAACUGGCAAUGGAAGCAACAUAUUUUCUGACUGUACAAUUACUGAUCACUUUAGGCCUAUGUAAAGCAGGAAAAUAAAUUAAUUACAAAUUUGCUUCAGAAUACUACACCAAAGAUUUAAUAUAAACUGAUUUUUCCCAUUUGCCAGAUGUUAACAGGAUCGCUGGUGAAUUUGCACAGGUGAUUAAGCUCUUUGAGGGUAAAUCUUAUAAGAAAAAUAUUUUAAAAUAUGAUUUAUUAUUUUUAACUACUUCAAUUGAAAGCAAUAAAAUUCUCUGCUCGGUGCUUAA
ensembl:lncRNA